ensembl:lncRNA
UUUUCCGUGAUGAAUGCCUGAGCAGAUCACCAUUUGAGACUGGGCGGAUCACUGAAGAUUGUUACAAAAAAGAAUCAACAGCAGAUAACUCUCUCUCUCACUCGUGCAGAUGCGUGCCAAAGCGAUUGGAUCCGCCCCGGGUUUUGGCUGUCGACACGCUGUGUGCGCUGACUAGACCUUUUAUUGCGGCCUUCAUCCCCAGCUGGCUGCUCAACCUCUUCAUCCUGGCAUGUUGUGCCCUUCCUCUCUGAGUCGAUGCCACAACAGUCUGUGAAGGUGUUAAUAAGAUGACGACGCAGGCCUCUCUGAAACAUGAAGCCGGAAUUACUCCCUUUGCAGUCAAUAAUUACUUUUUCACACUUUACUCAUCUGUUGCGGCUG